ACUCUAAUAGUUUAUAAAAACAUUGGC
rnacentral:tRNA from 1 species